rnacentral:rRNA from 1 species
CCUACGGGAGGCAGCAGUGAGGAAUAUUGGUCAAUGGCCGCAAGCCUGAACCAGCCAAGUCGCGUGAGGGAAGACUGCCCUAUGGGUUGUAAACCUCUUUUAUGCGGGGGCAAAGGUGGCCACGUGUGGAGGUUUGCAGGUACCGCAUGAAUAAGGACCGGCUAAAUCCGUGCCCGCAGCCGCGGUAAUACGGAAGGUCCGGGCGGUAUCCGGAUUUAUUGGGUUUAAAGGGAUGGUAGGCCGGUCUUUAAGCGUGCCGUGAAAUUUUGUGGCUCAACCAUGGGCGUGCGGUGGAAACUGGAGACCUUGAGUGCGCGGAAGGCAGGCGGAAUUCGUGGUGUAGCGGUGAAAUGCUUAGAUAUCACGAAGAACCCCGAUUGCGAAGGCAGCAUGCCGCAGCGUUACUGACGCUGAAGCACGAAAGCGCGGGUAUCGAACAGGAUUAGAUACCCCAGUAGUC